rnacentral:RNase_P_RNA from 2 species
GAAGCUGACCAGACAGUCGCUGCGUAUCGAUUCGAUACGGAGAGGAAAGUCCGGGCUCCACAGGGUAGGGUGACGGCUAACGACCGUCCGCCGCGAGGCGAGGAACAGGGCCACAGAGAUGAGACCGCCGAUGGCCACCCGACUUCGCGUCGUGCAAGCGCCGCAAAGUCCCCUUAAGUGGGAAGGGUGGCACAGGCAAGGGUGAAACGGUGCGGUAAGAGCGCACCGCGUGCGCGGUAACGCACACGGCACGGCAACCUCCACCCGGAGCAACACCAAAUAGGCAAGCGUUGACGCGACCCGCCGAGCUUGCGGGUAGGUGGCUCGAGUCGCCGAGCAAUCUGCGACCUAGAGGAAUGACUGUCGGGAGCCUCACGGCUUCGUACAGAACCCGGCUUAUCGGUCAGCUUCGUUC